CCUACGGGUGGCAGCAGUGGGGAAUAUUGCACAAUGGGGGAAACCCUGAUGCAGCGACGCCGCGUGAGUGAAGAAGUAAUUCGUUACGUAAAGCUCUAUCAGCAGGGAAGAAACACUGACCUUACGGUCAGCAGACGGUACCUGAGUAAGAAGCCCCGUCUAACUACGUGCCAGCAGCCGCGGUAAUACGUAGGGGGCAAGCGUUAUCCGGAUUUACUGGGUGUAAAGGGAGCGUAGACGGCGCGCCACGUCUGGAGUGAAAUGCCGCAGCUUAACUGCGGAACGGCUUUGGAAACUGGCGAACUAGAGUGCGGGAGGGGUAAGCGGAAUUCGUGGUGUAGCGGUGAAAUGCGUAGAUAUUAGGAGGAACACCGGUGGCGAAGGCGGCUUACUGGACCGUAACUGACGUUGAGGCUCGAAGGCGUGGGGAGCAAACAGGAUUAGAUACCCGUGUAGUC
rnacentral:rRNA from 1 species